CAGCAGCCGGCGGUAAUACGUAGGGUGCAAGCGUUAAUCGGAAUUACUGGGCGUAAAGCGUGCGCAGGCGGUUAUAUAAGACAGAUGUGAAAUCCCCGGGCUCAACCUGGGAACUGCAUUUGUGACUGUAUAGCUAGAGUACGGCAGAGGGGGAUGGAAUUCCGCGUGUAGCAGUGAAAUGCGUAGAUAUGCGGAGGAACACCGAUGGCGAAGGCAAUCCCCUGGGCCUGUACUGACGCUCAUGCACGAAAGCGUGGGGAGCAAACAGGAUUAGAUACCCGUGUAGUCCCUGUCUCUUAUA
rnacentral:rRNA from 1 species